rfam:Desulfobacterium vacuolatum DSM 3385 genome assembly, contig: Ga0002809_121
AAACGCCCUGUGCGGACCCGCACGCAGGGUGUUGUGGGGGCUGGGGGAUUAAACCCCCCGGCUACCCGAU